rnacentral:rRNA from 1 species
UACGUAGGGGGCGAGCGUUGUCCGAAAUUACUGGGCGUAAAGCGCACGUAGGCGGCUCGAUGCGUGGCAUCUGAAAGCCCACCGCUCAACGGUGGCGGGUGGUGCCAGACGGUCGAGCUUGAGGCAAGCAGACGAGUGUGGAACUCCGAGUGUAGCGGUGGAAUGCGUAGAGAUUCGGAAGAACACCCAUGGCGAAGGCAGCACUCGAGGCUUGACUAUCCGGAGCACAACGCUAUGCUGCAAGGUAUAGCUUAUGGCUGCGGUCCUGACGCUGAGGAGCGAAAGCCAGGGGAGCAAACGGG